GAAUUUUAGAUGCACCUCAGAAGAUGCCCCAGACACAGGCCUCCUUUUGGCAUUCCUCUGGAGGAAUCAAACCAUCGUUGACAUUGAAAUGUGGAAUUCUCAGCAGAAACAGGCUAGUUUCCAUCUAAUAGGAGUCCAGGAGAGAGACUCGGGCAACUAUGGCUGUGUGGUAUCAGAGCAACCGCUUGCUGCAACAGAGUUGGACAUGUGUGGAGGGAAUUCAGUCUUCCUGCAGGUUUACGGUAAGAAUUGCAAAAAUAUUAACACCAUGCCUCAAACAAAAGUGUUUAUUAUGAGAAGGCUAGUAUGUCAGUACAUGCAGACUAUACAAUUCUUACAGGCAGCACUUCAGCAAGCUCUGCAGGCUCUGUAUCUUAAAGCAAAUCCUUUUUUUUUUUUUAAGUCGAUCUGCACCAUCUUCAUUACCCAAGCUUUGCAACAAACAUUUUAGUAUUCACACCCUGUUACACUUUGAAUAUGUCAAAUAAAGCUUUACUUUUGAUGCUCACACAAAAAAGCAAAUGUUUGUUCAAUUUAAAAACAGGGAAACCAAAUGAAGAGUCACCUGCCCCCCCAUCCGGUUGCAUAAUGAUGGCCGCUCAGUUUCUGCUAAUCCCCCUGCUUCUUCUUGCGCUGCUGAUUUUACUGAUGUGGAAGAAAGGUACCACUAAACAUAGUUCCUUGUUUCAGUGCCUGUUCUCACAAUUCUCACUGGUGCCAUCUGCAAAUACCCUAUUUGACACUUUGACUUUUGUGUUCACAGGGACAUUCAGGCGAUGGAAACCUCCACAGAGCACAACUGAGCAGCAUUGUCUAUAUUUGGCUAACACAGGACUGCCUGCACAUGGACGAUCACUUGAGGCAACAAGUGAAGAGCCUGCUGUGGACAGGACUGAUACGGGGAUGUGUGACAGACAACAAAAUCUCAAUCAAGGAGAGGACAUGGGCCCCACUGAAUGGAGUGAUAAUUCUGCCGAUGAUUCUGACGACUAUGUCAACGAUACCUAUCAGGAAAUUGGCUAAUACCAGGAUAUAUGCAAGAUGAGACGGAGCCCCUGAUGAAGGAGCCGCAAGACCUUAUGCCACAGUGUCGAAGAAAAGAAAGAAAAAGAAACCAGAGCCACUGUAUUCAAUUGUUCUUCAGUAGUUUUUGUUUCUAUUCUGAAAAUGCAGUGUAACAGUUUGUUAUCAUGUUAUUUGAAAGCUCCUUGAUCAAUGCGAACUUUGUUGUGUAAUGAUUUGCCAUGAUUUCUCAUUUUCACCACCCGAACAUAUGAAUGUGUGAAUACGCAAUAAAUCAUACAAGUGCAAUUUACA
rnacentral:lncRNA from 1 species